GUAGGGAAUCUUGCGCAAUGGGCGAAAGCCUGACGCAGCCAUGCCGCGUGAAUGAUGAAGGUCUUAGGAUUGUAAAAUUCUUUCACCGGGGACGAUAAUGACGGUACCCGGAGAAGAAGCCCCGGCUAACUUCGUGCCAGCAGCCGCGGUAAUACGAAGGGGGCUAGCGUUGCUCGGAAUUACUGGGCGUAAAGGGAGCGUAGGCGGAUAGUUUAGUCAGAGGUGAAAGCCCAGGGCUCAACCUUGGAAUUGCCUUUGAUACUGGCUAUCUUGAGUGUGGAAGAGGUAUGUGGAACUCCGAGUGUAGAGGUGAAAUUCGUAGAUAUUCGGAAGAACACCAGUGGCGAAGGCGACAUACUGGUCCAUUACUGACGCUGAGGCUCGAAAGCGUGGGGAGCAAACAGGAUUAGAUACCCCGGUAGUCC
rnacentral:rRNA from 1 species